UUUGAACUAAUUAUAUAUAUAUAUGUGUUUUCUUCACAAACAUGUUAUGAUGGCAAAAUGAACAUUGAUUACUAUUUUGCAUGCAAAGAAUGCAAUGAACUGUAUUGCAUUCUUAAAAUUUUAAACUGUUGUCGUCAUUAUUAAGUAGUUUGUCUUUUUGUAUUGCUUAUGUAUUGUUGGCAGGUUGAAAACAGCUCAGCGGAUUUAUGUGGAGAAGCCACAAUUUAAACAGUACCGUAUAAUAAUCAUCAAAAACGCACGAGAGACAAGAACUUUGUUUAUGCGGUCACACCACAAAGCACAUAGGGCUGUGAGUGCACCUGUUUUUAUUAGCACAAACACAAAUUGGCACAAUCAAUCAUGGAUGCAUUUCAACUGUGCGUGUCAGCCUUCAAUAAUGAAAACAAAAGUAUAGGAAACAAAAGACAAUUAGGCCAAACGCAAUAAUUGAGGGCACAUCUUAACAUGUAUAAUUACAUUUUAAUUUAACAAAAAUAUUGCUCCUGGCCCAGCUGCACCAUAUAAUAAUAUAAAUCAAUUUAAUGAAGUCAAAAUACAAAUAAGGCAACAAGAGAAGUAUCCAACACUUCUCUUUUGUAAACUAAAUUUGUACAGCCGAAAUUGGCUGUACAGCAACAAUAUGAUUUGUCUGAGAAGCUGGACAGGACAGAUAAAUGAUAAAUGUUUAAUGGUUUAUACUUGUAUAGCGCUUUUCUACCUUCAAGGUACUCAAAGCGCUUUGACACUACUUUCACAUUUACCCAUUCACACACACAUUCACACACUGAUAAAGGGAGCUGCCAUGCAAGGCGCUAGCCAGCACCCAUCAGGAGUAAGGGUGAAGUGUCUUGCUAAAGGACACAAUGGACGUGACGAGGUUGGUAUACGGUGUGGAUUGAACCAGGGACCCUCGGGUUGCACACGGACAAACAAACAAAAAAUAAAAAAAAAAUAAAAAUAAAGCAAAAAAAUUAUUUAUUUGAUAACUUGAUUAAUGGAUUGGGAUAUUUGAAAGAAUACUCGAUUACUAAAAUAUUCGAUAGCUGAAGCUGGAGUUAGAAGUCAAAAUGUGUCCUAAAUUAGCUUUUUCGGGUUGCAGAGGAUACAGCAUUUAUUCGCCAAUGCAAGGAAUGUUUCACCAAGGAAAAACAACUCAAUGUUGGUAAAUAUAUGCUAAGAUAUUCGAAACAAAAUAGCCACAGUUUUAUGUUAUAGGUUUCAAAGCAGAUAGUUAUUAAUAGUACAUAGGGAUGUAAUGUUAUCAAAAUCUCACAGUAUGAUAUUAUCAUGGUAUUAAGGUCAUGAUACUUUGUGGUAUAUGUCCAAAAAAUGUUUAGGAUAACAUACUUACUGUAAAUGAACACAAAAAAAAUGCUAAAAUGUUUGGAAUCAUAUGAGUUUAUACCAAAAAGUUAUAUUUUAGUUUCAUCUGACCACAUGACAUUUUCCCAAUCCUGUGCUGUAUCAUCCAUGUAUCCAUUUUGGUUUAAACUCAACUCGUCGUGUUUGGAGGAAGACGAAUACUGAGUUGCACCCCAAGAACACCAUAUCUACUGUGAAGCAUUGGGGUGGAAACAUCAUGCUUUGGGGCUGUUUUUCUGCUAAGGGGACAGGACGGUUGAUCCGUGUUAAGGAAAGAAUAAAAGGGGUCGUGUUUCGUGAGAUUUUCAGGCAAAACCUCCUUCCAUCAGUGAGAGCUUUGAAUGGUUGACCAAAUACUUAUUUUCCACCACAAUUUACAAAUAAAUUCUUUAAAAUUCCUACAAUGUGAAUUCCUAGAUUUGUAUUUUCUCAUUCUGUCUCUCACAGUUGAAGUGUACCUAUGAUGAAAAUUACAGACCUCUGUCAUCAUUUUAAGUGGGAGAACUUGCACAAUCGGUGGCUGACUAAAUACUUUUUGCCCCACUGUAACUUAGUGCAAGUUGCAAACAGCCCCUUAUAGUACAAUUACCUUUUUUCUGGCACUCUUUUCUGUGGAUGUGACGCCCCCAGCAGGGAGUGCAAGAUAACAUAUUGGUUUAGGCACCCCUGUUCUAAUUCCUAAAACGUUUGCCCUUAUGGAGAAUGUAAACUAAGCCUGACAGUUCCUUACUCAGCACGCCAACGUGUAUAAGAAAUGUGUGUAUUAAGGUCUGCUGUACCUGGUGGGGCUCCUCUGUGGAGCUUCAAGAUCAGAGUUUGUAGCCUUUUUGCGGUACAGGAAGCCUUCGUUGUGUGCAGUGUGUGAAGGUGGCUGAGGUGUCGUUGGGGCACCGGUAGCAGGAGCUGAGCGAGAGCGACGAUUUUCCUCGGGCUCCUUCGGACGGGGCCUCCUGCGUGGUUUGGGUCGGUCUCGGGCACGAGGGCGUCCAUCAAAACGAGUCACCGGUGCAGAGAGGCUGCUUGGGGGCCGAUAGGGCUCUCCUCUGGCCUGACGGAGCGAGUUUUAGAAAAUGUGACUUAAAGGCAUGAUGAAAGUUGCAAAUAAUUUACUCCAGGUCACUGUGGUAGACAACAUACAUGUGCUGCUUCUCUCUCCUGGGCUUGUUCCACGAUCUCCGCCAUAGUAGAUCUCUUAUCCCUGCAGUGACAGAGGGCAUGAGUCAUCUAUAUGAACUGGUUCUUCAUUUUCCUUCAUUAUAUACAAUUGAUUGAUCAAAACAAAGUAAAUACUAGACAAUGACUAAACAAAAGUAAAAACUACUGUCCACUACUACUGAUCCUCGACUCUCUGUUCCUAUACACUCCAACCGGCCGAGACAGACAACAAAACUUAGGUAUUGUUCAAAACUUCUCCUCGAGAGGGAGUUUUUCCAUGACUCAGUCACCAAAUAUAUAGAGCAGUGGUUCUCAAAUGGGGGUACGCGUACCCCUGAGGGUACUUGAAGGUAUGCCAAGGGGUACGAGAGAUUUUUUUUUAAAUAUUCUAAAAAUAGCAACAAUUCAAAAAUCCUUUAUAAAUAUAUUUAUUGAAUAAUCCUUCAACAAAAUAUAAAUGUAAAUUCAUAAACUGUGAAAAGAAAUACAACAAUGCAAUAUUCAGUGUUGACAGCUAGAUUUUUUGUGGACAUGUUCCAUAAAUAUUGAUGUUAAAGAUUUCUUUUUUUGUGAAGAAAUGUUUAGAAUUAAGUUGAUGAAUCCAGAUGGAUCUCUAUUACAAUCCCCAAAGAGGGCACUUUAAGUUGAUGAUUACUUCUAUGUGUAGAAAUCUUUAUUUAUAAUUGAAUCACUUGUUUAUUUUUGAACACGUUUUUAGUUAUUUUGAUAUCUUUUUUUUCCAAAUAGUUCAAGAAAGACCAUUACAAAUGAACAAUAUUUUGCACUGUUAUACAAUUUAAUAAAUCAGAAACUGAUGACAUAGUGCUGUAUUUUACUUCUUUAUCUCUGGUUUUCAACCAAAAAUGCUUUGCUCUAAUUAGGGGGUACUUGAAUUAAAAACAUGUUCACAGGGGGUACAUCACUGAAAAAAGGUUGAGAACCACUGUUGUAGAGGACCAACAAACUUGAGCAGGCUCUGUGGAAAAUCAUGGCCAAGUCUUUGGGGGACAUUAGUGGGAUUGGGCAAUAUACUGUCCAUACCCCAUUAAGGGAUUGCUAUGAUCAACACGCACCAUGCAUCGGGACGACGUUGCUCAGAUGGUAGAGCGGCUGUGUUAGCAACUUGAGGGUUCCAAGUUCGAUUCCAGCUUCCGCCAUUGGGCAAGACACUUCAACCCCCUUUCUACCAAUGCCGCUCACAUUGGUGAAUACAUGAAUAUGAAUGUUUCGUUGUGGUCGGAAGGGUCGUAGGUGCAAAUUGGCUGCCACGCUUCUGAGAGUCUAACCUAAGCUACAAAUUUAGCUUACCACCAUAACUGAUUGAAUUAUUGAUGGGUUCUCAGUUCUCUGUGAAGUGCUUUGAGUAUCUAGAAAAAGCGGCAUAUAAAUCUGAUCCGUUAUUAUUGGUGGUGUUGUUAUUGUGUUUAAAAAACAACAUGGGCAAAAAUAAACACAAUUUACGGCAAAUUGUUUCUUCAUUAAGUAACAAAGCCUACUACUGGCUUGGCAUGCAUCAAUACACUAAAAGCAUUUUGAACCUAUCCAGUGUUUAGCUGUACUAUGUUAGACAUGUUCACCUACCCUGAUCGUUUGUCUGAGCCCUCUUUAACAGAGCCCUCCAGGUCACUCGAGUCCUGUCGUUGAAGUCUCUGCUUGCCAUUCCCCUCUUGCUCACUGGAUGACUGUCUCUCCAGGCGUCUUCGGUAGCGUUCCUGACGCACAAUCAGCGGUGGUCCAUCUGAGGGUCCGAGCGGCUGCCACGGGGAUCCCUCUGGAGACGGCUGUGGAGGAGCUCCAGUCCCGACUCCGGCCCCAUCAUGUCUGCCUUCGGGAUAUCGCCAUACUGCUCCCGCUGUACUCGACUGGCUUCUAAGAGUGGAUUUACAGCCUUGUGGAUGUGAUUGAUCCUGGGUUGCAUGAAGUCAGCUUUCAAGUGUUGCCAUGCAUAGGCCAUUUUUGGGUCCAUGAUGCCACCACUUGGUGCUAGGAAACCAGAACUGCCUAGACUUCCACUGCUAUAAUGGUUUUGUGCAAGAUAGCCUGAGCUACCCAUUCCUCCAGUGCUUUGAUAAUUCUGCGCUAAGAAUCCAGAACUCCCUAAAUUAGGCUGUGAGGCAAGAUAUCCUGAACUCCCUAAAUUGGGCUGCUGUCCCAAGUAUCCAGAACUCCCUAUGUUUUGUGGUUGUGUUAAAAAGCCCGAACUUCCCAUAUUUUGUGGAUGUGUCAAGUAAGCUGAACUUCCCACAUUUUGCUGCAUCAAAUAGGCAGAACUUCCCACAUUCUGCUGAGGAAGAAACCCAGGAGUUCCCAUCCCUCCACUACCUUGCUCCUGAGUCAGAUUACCUGAACUUCCUAACCUGCUAGUCCCUGGAUGGCUUUGCAUUGAGUAGCCAGAACCACCCACACAGCCAGCAGACAGUCCAAAGUACCCAGAGCUCUCAGCACUGUCAGUUAUUUGAUUGUUUAUCCCAAGGUAAUUUGAUGUGUCCGAGCCUCCACCAUGGCACGGCAACGCUGAAAAAGCAGAGUCACUUCCACCCCCAAUGGCCUGGUGGUUCAUCCCAAAAUAUGAGGAGCUUGCUAACUUUCCACUACACUGUCGCUCCAGGCUGUGAUGGCCUGAUCCAUUUAUGAUCGGGUUGUAGCUGGAAAGCGUUGAGGACACUCUCUGGGUCACAUUGGUGGCACCCAGUUCCACACUGGUCUGCAAGGGUGUGGACUCUAUUUGGGCCUGUACCGUCUGCCUCAUGAACAUUAAACUUGUUGAAGGACUGGAUGGAGUCAGACAUGAUAUUGGGAACAUCCUUCGACUGGAGAGCGGGGUCUUUUUGUCUUCCUCUUUUUUCUUCUCAGCCUGGAAAAAUACAUUUGAAACAAUCAGAAGCAAAAAAAAAAAAAACAUUCAAGAGAACACAGAACAAAAGCAAGCAAGAUAUGCUUGAUGCAAUGCAAUUACAGUGGUAGAUCAACUUACGAGAUAUUUGAAAUACGAGCUGUCUCUCGACUUAUUGUUAUGGUUUAAGUUGUGAGCAUGAUUUUAGUUUUGAGUAUGUUGCCUGCCCCUGCCAUUCAGUUCAAAUAAAAAAAAUACCAAUAUGAUCCACCCCACCACUAGCUAGCACAGCAAAUGCCUGGACAAACCCCGCAAGAUCCGAGCCAUAACAAAAGGUCUUAAAAGCAAACAGCGAACUGAAGAAACUAACGCAAUUACUGUGCAGCCAACCUGCGACGGAGCAAUGCAGUGAGCAUCUACUGAAACACAGCCAUCCCCAAUAGGCGGGCAUCCCCUAACGAGAAUAUGGAGAAGCUACUGUUAUUGUUCGCAAUUUUAAAGAGACAUCCCAGAAAGUCUGUUCUCAAGCACGGAUUAAAUUGAGUCCAAUUCAUUUCAAUCGGCGGGACUGACUUAAGUUACAAGUUUUUUGAGAUACGAGCUCGUUCCUUGAACCAAUUGAACUGGUAAGUUAAGGCACCAUUGUAUUGGGUAUGAUUUCUCAAUGCAAUCAGUUUUGUUGACGGAUGAACAUGAACAACAAACAGGGUGCAAUGGAUAAAACAAUCAUGAAUCAUGAGACAGCUUUCAAGCCUAUAAUGAUGCAAAGAGCUGGUAUAGGCCCAUGCCUGCUAAACAACACCAACAUCCUAAGAUCACUUUUUUUCCCACGGCAGCAUGAAAAUGCCACUCCAGAAAACUCAUUAAACAUUUAGCUACAGUCAAGCUUACUGCAGAAAGCUGACGGAGAGAGCUGAAGCGUUCUUUCCAGGUUACAGCAGCCUUGCGGAAGGCUUCAUGGCGAAGGAUGAGCUGCUCAACCUCAUCGGUUUUGGCCUGGGCUUCUCCUCCCUCUGGCUGCUUGGAGGUGAUCAGAGGCUCCUUGCCUUUCAGCCAGGCUUCUGCCUUCACGGUCUCCUGGGCAAACUGGAACCUCUCCCGUCCUUAAUAAUACAAGAGACCAAUAGAUGGUUUACACAUGAUGCAUCCAAGCAUGGCUCUACAACUUCAUUGUAGACGUUUGUCUUUGAAAACAAAAAGGUUAUUUUUUUAACAGUAGAUGUGUCUCAAUUCGACGGCUGCAUCCUUUGCAGUGCGCAUUUGUGGGGUUCUGACGUCAUGGCGGAGCGCGAAAGCUGUGCCAGUUCAAAAAAGUUCCAAGUGUCCUUCCAAUCCGGCCGACAAAUGUGUCCUUUUCUCGCUUUAGCAGAAAGGUUGCAUCCGUGUGCACUUUGUGUCCUUUCAUAUCCCGAAAUCCUUUGUUUGCUUAACUCUAAAAAAUAUUUUCAACAUGGCGAUGGUAAUAAGAGCAACUUUAAAAUGAAGCUGAGGUGUUUGUAGUGAUGUGCAUUUGUGUUAUAGUACGAGACCUCUGCUAUCGUAAUGUUGAGCGAACUCCAUGCUCUGCCUCUCUCUUUACUCCAAGGGAGAUCCAGAUAUCCGGCUAUUGCAGACAGCUUGGUGCCCAGAGCUUUUAUUCAACGUUCGGAAGUAAAGCCUUACAUCUUUUUAAUUUACUUUUUCAGACCGCAAGAAGUUGACUUAUUUAUGUUGUAUAAAUGCGUGGCCGAAAUAAUGAAGUAUUGUAAAUGUCUCCAUCAAUGUACCAAUAUUAGUUAUUGCUGUUUUUUGUGUACAUUUGUAUGUUAUUUAAAAAACUUUAGUUCAAUUCACGAUAAUUGUGUUCUUGUCCAGCUACUCAGGCAAAUCAUAUUGUUCACGUAGAUGCCCAUAUUUGCUGUACCAACUUACUUUACAAAAAAUAAGUAUGGGAUACUUCUCUUGUUGCUUCAAUUGUAUUUGACUUUAUUAAAUGGAUUUAUAUUCAUGUUUGGCACAGCCGAACCGGAGCACGAGGGGAUAGAAAGAGACUAAAAGACACAGGGGGACAAUUUCGGGACAAGAAGGGGAUAAGACAGAGAGACAACAACAUCAACAACAGAACAGCUUCAGCAAAUACGAUAUGUACAGAUAUGAUAGGAAAAGUUAUAGCAAAGACGCAGUUAGUGUAAAUAAAUAUUAAUAACACAUAAAUGACAAUGAACAUUAUUGCAAUACAAAUAGAGCAAUAAAAAUACCAACAAAAAUUGCACUAUUGAUAACGAAUAAUAACAAUAAUUGCCUCUAUCAGCAACAAUAUACUGAUAAAAUGUCUACCAGAAGUGUGUGGGUUCCCUCCAGGUACUCCGGCUUCCUCCCACUUCCAAAGACAUGCACCUGGGGAUAAGUUGAUUGGCAACACUAAAUUGGCCCUAGUGUGUGAAUGUGAGUGUGAAUGUUGUCUGUCUAUCUGUGUUGGCCCUACGAUGAGGUGGCGACUUGUCCAGGGUGUACUCCGCCUUCUGCCCGAUUGUAGAUAAGAUAGACUCCAGCGCCCCCCGUGACCGCGAUGGGAAUAAGCAGUAGAAAAUGGAUGGAUGGAACUUGAAUUACAAAAGAAAGCAGAUAAAUGGAGGGAAAGAAAGAGAAGCAAACUGUAUUAACCUUGUAGAUUGUUAUAUUAUUAAUAGGUUAAGCUUUGUCAGUGUGUCGUGUUUUACCCAGUUAGUCCUAGGGGAACAACGUUAAUAUGUUUGAUAAAACAUGACUAUAUGCAGGGUUUGUAUGCAUAUGUUUGUAUAUGUACAGUAUGUGUAUAUGUAUGUUUGUACAGUAAAUGUGCGUGUGGAUGUAUAUACUGGUACUAGUAAAGUACCGCGAUAUUAAUGAACCAUAAACAGUAUUAUACCUCCUCUAAAAAGUACCGGUUCCCUCUUUCUUUUCUUUUUUAUUAACGGGCAUAGUGGCGCACCAUUGUCACGUCGUGACAUUGCUGGUUUUAUGAGCAGAGGAGCAUGUUUUGCAGCACAAAAUUACAGAACACUUACACGCAGAUACAGUGUGUAUAUAGAAAAGGAGAAUGGGCGCAUUUUAUCUUAAAAAAAACCCAUCAAUCAAUCAAAGUGUAUUUAUAUAGCCCUGAAUCACAAGUGUCUCAAAGGGCUGCACAAAUCACAACGACAUCCUCGGUACAGAGCCCACAUAAGGGCAAGGAAAAACUCAUACCCAGUGGGACGUCGGUGACAGUGACAAUGAUGACUAUGAGAAACCUUGGAGCGGACAGCAUAUGUGGGCAGCCCCCCCCUACACUACCUCAGGGCCAGCGGCAGGCCAUAGACAGAGGACAAGGCACAGGAGAAGCAGGGGACAGCCAGCCCCAAAGCCGACGAGACACCACACCCCACGCAGGCAGAAAGAUAGGACGCCUUGCCACGAGGAGCCCAAUUUAGAUCUUUUGUUUAGCUUUUCUGAUUUUGUUUGUUUUUGUUGCUGUGUAGAAUAAUCAAAGAGGACUUGAACAACAACAGAGUAAAAAGAAAUGACACAAAACACAUAUAUACCAGUUUGGAUGAUCAUUUAAAAACAAAGUACUUUUAUAACCCAAAUAAAUUAAUAAACUCAUGUACUGAAA